UUCAAGUAAAGAUUUUUAUGUAAUCCUGUGAAGAUGAUACUGCCAUUGUCGGAAUUAGAAUGCCAUAAGCCUACUUUGUCGUAUUAAUUUACAAAUUGCGAAAAACCAAAUUAAAUUUGAAUUUCGUAGGCAGACCCGUCUCUUGCAACUUAACAAUACUAUAUCCCACA